rnacentral:lncRNA from 11 species
GAAAAUCUGGGGUUAAUGUUAGACAGAAUACGCCUCCUUGUUGACGAACGCGACUCUUACAUUUUUGUCCUUUCCUAGCCACCGUUGGGGCUGCCUUCCGCGGCCUCCUUCGUUGGGCAAAACCAUUCGAGAAGGGAGGGAGGGGGGAGCUCAUCCUUGAAAGUGGUUUCGCCCAGGGCAGAUUUGCUCUGCUGCAUCUGCUGCAGAAUUUAUAUUCCACCCUUCUCACCCUGAAGGGGACUCAGGGCGGA